rnacentral:rRNA from 1 species
CACCUCCUUCUACUACCCGAGGGAGAGCCGGCGACGUUCGCAGAAGCGGAGCCCCAUGCGGCGUGGCGGGCAGCGAUGACUGAAGAAAUGGCGUGCAUUGAGUCUAACGAGACCUGGUCUCUCUGCGAUCUGCCUGCAGGUCACCGACCCAUCAGCCUGAAGUGGGUUUUUAAGGAGAAAAGGAACGCCGUCGGCGAGGUGAUCAAACACAAGGCCCGUCUGGUAGCGAAGGGGUUUGUGCAGCGCGCCGGGAUCGACUUUGAAGAAAUCUUCGCCCCGGUGGCCCGUCUCGACUCUGUGCGUGUGUUGCUCGCCGCAGCCGCACAGGAAGGAUGGGAGGUGCACCAUCUGGAUGUCAAAUCGGCCUUCCUCAACGGUGAACUUGAGGAGGAGGUGUACGUGGUGCAGCCUCCCGGAUUCGAGCACGCCGGCGCGACGAGCAAGGUGCUCCGACUGCACAAAGCGCUCUAUGGGCUGCGUCAGGCACCGAGGGCGUGGUACGCGAAGCUCGACAGCAGCCUCAAUGCUCUAGGCUUCGAGAGAUGCCCAUCCGAACAUGCA